rnacentral:lncRNA from 1 species
AAUUGAGUCCGGCCUUGCUUCGCCCUGCAUCAAUCAGUCAGGCCCGCCUUGGUUCGCCCUGCAUCGAUCAGUCAAGCUUGACUUGAAUGGAUCGGAUUGAAGAUCGGCGGCUCGAUGAGUACCAACGCCCAACAUUUGCCUGAAUCAGUUGACUGGAACCUUGAUGAACACAACCUGUACAAAAUUGAGAUCGGAAAGACAUUAGCACCUGAAAAACCAUCUCCAAACCUAGCAAUCUUUUGCGGCGGCCGAGAUAUGGAGUGGCACUGCUAAUAGAAUUAAGGAAUAUGGGUCAAAAAAUAAGAUGAACAAAAGCGGUUGCGGUUGUACCAGAGGGACCGGGAGCAGUAGGGGUGGUGGCAGCAACCCAAAGCAUCACUCGCUAUCAUCGUCAGU